UACAGAGGGUGCAAGCGUUGUCCGGAAUCACUGGGCGUAAAGGGCGCGUAGGCGGCCCGAUAAGUAGGGGGUGAAAUCUUGCGGCUCAACCGCAAGGCUGCCUUCUAGACUGUCGGGCUUGAGCACAGUAGAGGCAGGUGGAAUUCCGGGUGUAGCGGUGAAAUGCGUAGAUAUCCGGAGGAACACCGGUGGCGAAGGCGGCUUCCUGGACCGAUACUGACGCUGAGGCGCGAAAGCUAGGGGAGCAAACGGG
rnacentral:rRNA from 1 species